GUACAUAUAAAGUAAAAGGGAUUGCGGAAAUAAAAUGUCUCAUUGUCAGGUAGUCCAAGAGAAAGCCAUGUGUGUGCAAUUGUGUCCUAAACUAGAAAGCACAUAAAAGAUUACAAUUUGUCUUGGAUCUUGAAUGCUCCAUCCAUGUUCGGGUUGAAUAUUUGUCCAGGGUCUUUUGCAAGGGUCCUAACAACAAUCUCUAAAUCGAUUCCAAUGUCCAUUACAUGUUUGAGAAUUAUUUUUUUUAUUUUUUUUAAGUCUUAUCCAUUUUUAGUCAUUUUUAGAAGAGAUGAAUGAAGAAUGUACAAUGAUAUAGCAAAAAUAAAAUAAAAGUAAGUAAAUGAAAAAAUAAUAAAAUGUUAGGAGCGAAAAUUAAAGGUUAGAUACAAGAAUUAAAUGUUAGGUGCGAAAUUUAAAUGUAAGAGGUUAAUUGUUAGAUGUUAAGAUAAAAUCAAAAGAAACGAUAAAAGAAUGUUUAACAAAAUUUAAAUUCUAAACAAUUGUCAACAAUUAUUUCCAAAACAAUUAACAAAAUUAAAUUCUAAAACAAAUACCAAAUCAAUUCCAAAAUUGAAUCAUCAAAGCAAAAACAAAUUCUAAAACAAUUACCAAGUCAACUCUAGCAAUCAACUCUAAUUAAAUCCUAAAUAAAAUUCAAUCCUAAAUUAAAUUCUAAACACAAUUAAUCCUAAUUAAAUUCUAAACACAAUUAAUCCUAAUUACUACCUAAAUUCCUAAUUCUAUUAAUAAUUCCUACUCAAUGUUAAUAACACUGUAGAACCAGGAUUUAGACCGGGCCUAGGGAUUGGGGAUCAGGCCCAUCGNGGGGGGGGGGGGGGGGGGGGGGGGGUGAGGCUGGAUCGCAUGGUGUGAUACCAUGGAAUAACAAUCGGGCCUCAUACAGGCCCUAAGGCCCAACGCGGAGGGGCUAGACAUGGAAUAACACCGUGAAGGUCAUCCUCUUCAUGCGUGAUGUAUCGCUCAUGGAGAAACAGCAAAUGUGACGGUCGUCGCGCCGGGUUUCAUCACCGGCAGCGGCGAUUCGACGUGGCGACAUCUGCGUCGUCUCCACCCUCACCUCCCCCGAUCUAAGUCUAGUUUAACACCGGAAUAAACACGAGAUAAACCUUACCGGAGACGGCGAAUGGGAGAAGACGACCGUGGAGGCUCCGAUUCAGGUUCUCGAUUCUUCUCCUCCUCUUGUUUCUCUUCUUCUCAACCGCUAAUCUUCAUCAUCUCCACUCUAUUUUCCGUCUCCUUCAAUUCUUCUUCUGGUUUCUUCUUUUGUUAGUGAUUGGAUGUGAUGGUGUCGGUUACCGGUAGUUUAAGGCCAUUUGCGGAUCUAUGAAGGUUUGGAUACGAAGGUGAUUGAUAUGUGCGUUGAAUCGCGGUGGAGACGGUGGCUGAUUUUCAACGGAGGCAAUGGAGGUUGGGGUAUGAGCUGCUGCGGAUUUUUUCAAGAGGAACUUUCGUCGCGAGCUCAAGAGUUUAUAUAGAACUCUCAAUUGGUAGUUGGAUCCAUCUUCUGUCGUUUCUGCAUUUCCUUGUCGUUUACCGUAUUUUUCUGCUUCCGUUUAUGCUUUCUGUUGCUCAUGGAUUAGCUUGGAAUGCGUUUCGUGUUGUGUAGCAGCUUGGCUAUUUGAAUUGUAGCUUCCCUUUGGAAGUUGGGUUCGCAUGCUGGAUGUUGAUGCUUGUUGUAGCGGUGUUUAUUUUGCGGCUGAUGUCGGCUCGUAUGUUAUGGCUUUGCACGUUACAUUUCAUUGUUUUUUGAUGUUGGCUUCGGAACGCUGCUUUGAUGCUGUUUCGUUUGCUUUUGGUAAGUACAGCUUGUGCUUUUUUUUAAUAACUUUUUCCGUUUUCUUUUUCUUUGUUUGCUGCAACUUUUCAAUUCAACUUUGGUUUUGCAGGCUUUGAAGAAGAAUGAACAGAGGGAUGAUUUUGGUUUACUUAGAUUUUUUUUAUUUAAAAAAUUGGAUAUGACUUGGAUAUGGAUUUGGACAAUUCAAUGAAUUUGGAUAUUAGGACUUGGAUAUUUGGUAAAUAGAUAUUGGUAUUGGACAUGUAAAAUGGGUUAAAAAUGGAAAUUUUUAUUAAUAUUGGAUAAUAUUGGAUAAAUGUGGAUAUGUGGUAAAAAUGAUUAAUGGAAUGAAUUUAGAUGGACUUAAAUGAUUCGUUAACAAAAUCAAGAAAUUCUAAAAGAUAAAAAGGUC
rnacentral:lncRNA from 1 species